AGCGUAAUCACGUUAGCUCGUUUCACGACUAAACUCUUCUCUUUGCAUCCAGGUCUUCGAGCUCCUGAUGGCUAAGUACCAGCGAAACAGGAAUACAACAAGAAGGCUAGGAGCAGUACAUUGUUGAUUGGUGUCCUCACAGAACAUGACUCAGUCUGGACUAUACUCACAUAAGCAGCUCCACAAAGCGAAUGUUCUUGUUCAGUCCUUCAAUUGCAUUCAUCUCAGCAUCAGAGAGAGAGAAAUCAAAGAUCUGCGGUUUUAAGAACAGACUUUGAGGACUGAAGCUCUUGGGGAUGACCACCACUCCUCUCUGCACAUUGAACCUCAGGACCACCUGCGCUGGACUCUUAUUAUACUUUUUAGCAAUUGACACCAGUAACUCAUCUUCCAGCAAUGGAGGACACGAAAGGUUUACCCUGUAGAAAUGUUUGGUUGGUCACUACUUGUAUGUUUUUUCUUAGGAAAUAAAAAAAUGCUUUUUAAUCAGCUGUUAAAAUUAGGACUGAGAAUACAUUGUCUUUUAAUGGUUACAAGAUUAGAUUACGUAAGAGUUUAUUGAUCCCACAACAGGAAAAUUCAAUGCUCGAGGCCACAACAGAAUAAAGUGCAAGAAAAAGUGUGCAUGCAUAAAGAUGGUGCAAAAACAAUAUAAAGUAAUACUAAUAGCGAUAAACACUAUACAGACCAUAUACAUAUUUUCAACAGUGGAAUUGCAGAAUAUCAGACAGUACAGGUGAGAUGCAUACAGAACAGGGUUACAUUGUUGUGUUGUACUAUCUGACAUCUGAAUUUGAUGAGUAGGUAUUUUUCAUACCAGGAUGCAUCCCUAGAUGUCCCCAAAGGGCUAUAUCCCACAAUAACAAUGUCCUUUUGGCGGCAGAAGUCCAGCAAUUUUGGCUGGGUGAAAUAGGGAUGGCACUCAACCUAGGAAGAAAAAUAAAUAAAUAAAACUAAGAGAAAAGCUCAAAUAGUUCAUUAGUCUGUUGUCUGUUUAUUGGCUUUGAUGUGUUUCCAUGUCUUUUCUAGAUUUUGUCAACGCCUUAAUUCAUUUGUCUUACCUGGUUUGACACAGGUUUGUAUUUAAGUCCAGGUUUGUUCAGGAUUAACUCCAGUUGGCGUUUGUUGAAAUUGGACACUCCAAGUGAUUUAAUAAUCCCAGCAUCUUUACAGGCUUCCAAUGCCUUUAGAGGAGAAUUUGACAAAUGUAAUCCACAAGUAGGUAUAGCCAGCUGGCAAAAA